rnacentral:rRNA from 1 species
AUUGAACGCUGGCGGCAGGCCUAACACAUGCGAGUCGAACGGUAACACGGUGCGGGCUUCCUCUUUGCUGACGCGUGGCGGACGGGUGAGAGAAGUCUGGGAAAAUGUCCUUUUGAGGGGGGUAACUACUGGAAACGGUAACUAAAAUCGCAUAAAGUCGCAAGGGCAAAGAGGGGGGGCUCUUGGGCCCUUGCCCUCGGGAGUGCCCAGAUGGGAUUAGCUAGUAGGUGGGGUAAAGGCUCACCUAGGCGACGAUCCCUAGCUGGUCUGAGAGGAUGACCAGCCACACUGGAACUGAGACACGGUCCAGACUCCUACGGGAGGCAGCAGUGGGGAAUAUUGCACAAUGGGCGCAAGCCUGAUGCAGCCAUGCCGCGUGUAUGAAGAAGGCCUUCGGGUUGUAAAGUACUUUCAGCGGGGAGGAAGGGAGUAAAGUUAAUACCUUUGCUCAUUGACGUUACCCGAAGAAGAAGCACCGGCUAACUCCGUG